CCUACGGGUGGCAGCAGUGGGGAAUAUUGCACAAUGGGGGAAACCCUGAUGCAGCGAUGCCGCGUGGAGGAAGACGGUUUUAGGAUUGUAAACUCCUUUUAUCAGGGACGAUAGUGACGGUUCCUGACGAAAAAGCAUCGGAUAACUCCUUGCAAGCAGCCGCGGUAAUACGGAGGAUGCGAGGGUUAUCCGGAUUUAUUGGGUUUAAAGGGGGCGUAGGCGGAUUACCAAGUCAGCGGUAAAAUCGCGGGGCUCAACCUAGCUCCGCCGUUGAAACUGGCGUUCUUGAGUGGGCGAGGAGUAUGCGGAAUGCGUGGUGUAGCGGUGAAAUGCAUAGAUAUCACGCAGAACUCCGAUUGCGAAGGCAGCAUACCGGCGCCCAACUGACGCUGAAGCACGAAAGCGUGGGUAUCGAACAGGAUUAGAUACCCCUGUAGUC
rnacentral:rRNA from 1 species